AUGUGUUGCAAGUACUUUUAUUUCCACACUUAAAAACCUCUUCCAUGCACCAAGUAGCUCAAAAGAACUUCAGUACACUGUGCUUAUGCGGCUAGCAAAAUUAGAAGAGAAAAAGACAUUUCUGAAACACUUGAUUGCAAUAAGAUAAUGAUAUGGCGGCCAAUAAUAUUUCAGGCAGUUUAGAAGUGCUUUGAAGCAUUGAAGAAUUUGAGGAGAGGAGAGUAAACUCAAAGACAAUUCAUAUCUUCAAAAGAAGAAAAACCAGAUAAAAGAAAUUGGUGGAAAAGACGCAAGAACAGCAGUUAGUCUUGCUUUUGAUGCAAUAAUGUCACGAGAAAUACAGGAUAGCUUUAGUCUGUAC
rnacentral:lncRNA from 1 species